rnacentral:rRNA from 1 species
AACGCACCUUGCGCUCCUUGGUAUUCCGAGGAGCAUGCCUGUUUGAGUGUCAUUAAAUUCUCAACCUUAUUGGCUUUUGCUGAUAAUGGCUUGGAUUUGGGGGUCUUUUGCUGGCUUUCACAAGUCAGCUCCCCUUAAAUGUAUUAGCUGGUGCCUCUGGUUAACCAUCUAUUGGUGUGAUAAUUAUCUACGCCGUGGAUGUUAGCCGUCUUAUAGGUGCACUGCUUCUAACCGUCUGUUCAUUCGGACAAUCUCAUUGACAUUUUGACCUCAAAUCAGGUAGGACUACCCGCUGAACUUAA